UUUAGAAAUUGCUUUCAAUCUAACAAAAAAAAUCACUCGACUUCUCUUGUUUAUGUGUUAAUCAAAAACUUUUUUUGUUUAUCCAAUUAAUCUGCAGUUUCCGUAUAGAAAUCUUAAAAAAACUUCAUGCAACUUUUUGAUUUUGGUUCUGCCCACUGCAAGUACUUAUUAGAUUCACAAGCUUGCGAGUUCAGAAUUUUGUUAUAGGGCGAGACAGAUCCUUGGUUAUUAGAAAUGUAGAAGAUUUGAGGAAGAAGCACGAAAAUGGGCUGGGCUUUUCGAUCCAGCAGUGGAGAUGAGCACAUCAAGGUUCAUAAGUGUGUUACCGGAGAUGGUGAUGUCAGAAAAUCAUGCAUGCUAAUUUCUUACAUCAGAGUCAGGACUAUGUACAGAGGAAUCACAUAUAUGGUUCAGAGGACUCAACUUUAUAAAUCAAGAUUUGUCUUUUACGAUUAUUAGACAAGUUGUUGAAAUUUGGAUAUUUUGAUAGUUGAUUAGAAGCACACUCA